rnacentral:snRNA from 1 species
ACCGAUACAAAUGUUAUGACCAA